rnacentral:rRNA from 1 species
CCCGAAGUAUCCUGAAUCUUUCGCAUUGUUAAUCAUACAAGUGCUUAUAAUAAACACAAAAAUCAAUGAUAAUUAUGCCAUUAUAUAAUUCCGAAAAAUUAACGCACUGUAUUCUUAUAAAUCUAUCAACACUUUAUCAAAUUAAUGACAUUUAUUCUGUGUUAAAACGCAAGCAUUUUAAUUGGAAUAAACUAUAAGCCAUAUUUUAUGAUAAAUUUUGUAUGUUAAUAGAUUACAAUGUCCUUAUAUGGAAAAAAUGCACACUAUUAUCAUAAUAUUGUUUAAAUAUUACAAUUUUAAUGAUGAAUUUUCCAUAACGGAUAUUCAGGUUCAUCGGGC